GAUGAACGCUAGCGGCAGGCUUAAUACAUGCAAGUCGAACGGGAUUCGGUGUAGCAAUACAUUGAUGAGAGUGGCGCACGGGUGCGUAACGCGUAUGCAACCUACCUUUAACAGGGGAAUAGCCCCGAGAAAUCGGGAUUAAUACUCCGUAACAUUGCGGUGUGGCAUCACACUGCAAUUAAAGAUUCAUCGGUUAAAGAUGGGCAUGCGUGACAUUAGCUAGUUGGUGAGGUAACGGCUCACCAAGGCCACGAUGUCUAGGGGUCCUGAGAGGGUUAUCCCCCACACUGGUACUGAGACACGGACCAGACUCCUACGGGAGGCAG
rnacentral:rRNA from 1 species